GGUCCUUCUUGCUUGGUAUGUCUUUGUAUAUUGCUGAGUGUUGUGGUUCUGGGAAAGUACAAGUAACAAUAUCACAGUAAUCAAAAGUAAAUGUAGCCACUUGUGUGUUGGAAGAGUUGUACCAAAAUGUGUAAACAUGAUCAUCUUUGGUAAUAGCAACUUCUUAGGCCUCUAAAAGGCCUAGCAGCAGACAUAAAUAUAAAAGGCUCAUGUUGGGGUGGGAUCUGCUUCCUCUGGAUCAGGAACCUUC